rnacentral:rRNA from 1 species
UACGUGGGUCACGAGCGUUAUCCGAUGUAACUGGGCGUAAAGAGUAUGUAGGUGGUCUUCUAAGUUACUUUUCAAAGCUUCUCGCUUAACGAGAAAAAGGGAAGUAAUACUAGUCGACUGGAAUUUCCUUUAGGGUAAUUGGAAUUAAUGGAGGAGUAGUGAAAUGCGUUGAUACCAUUAAGAACACCAGUGGCGAAGGCGAAUUACUGGAAGGAAAUUGAACACUGAGAUACGAAAGCUAGGGGAGCGAACGGG